CUUUUAUGUAAAAACUGACGUUGAAAGACGAAGGCUUAGGACACCAACAGGAUUAGAUACCCCAGCAGUCUAAGCAGACAAUGAUGAAUGUCAUAGAUUAGAAUUAUAGUUUUGUCUAUAAAUGAAAGUGUAAGCAUUCCACCUCAAGAGUAAUGUGGCAACGCAGGAACUGAAAUCAUUAGACCGUUUCUGAAACCAGUAGUGAAGUAUGUUGUUUAAUUUGUCAAUCCGCAAAACACCUUACCACAAUUUGAAUAGUUUUUACAAGCGUUGCACGGCUGUUUUCAGUUAAUGUCGUGAGAUUUUGGUUAGCUCCAUAAAAUUAACGUAAACCCUUACUUUAUUUUAAAGUAGUUCUCCAUUAUAUUGGGUAUGAUAAAAGGGAAUAAGACAAGCCCAUAUGGCCUUAAUAUUGUGGGUUAUAGACGUGCCACAUNAGCCUCUACAAAGG
rnacentral:rRNA from 1 species